CAGCGAUGGUUUGGAUGUGGAAAAUGAAGGUUGCCUCAGCUUUCCCAACAUGCGAGGUGACGUGGAACGAAGCAAAUGGAUCAAGGUCGAAGCCCAAAAUAUGAAGGGAAAGAAAAUAAAGAAGAAAUACAAGGGAUGGGAAGCACGAAUCUUUCAACACGAAUAUGACCACCUCGAUGGC
rnacentral:ribozyme from 14 species